rnacentral:rRNA from 2 species
CCUUCACUAUAGCUUGGUAUUGGUGGUUCGGUUCGGUUUGUGUAGGAAGGUGGGAGACUGUGAAGCGCGGGCACGCCAGUGUUCGUGGAGUCGUUGUUGAAUCCACUCUGAUCGUAUUGGACAUCUAACCUCGGACCAUGAUCUGGUUCGGGACAGUGCCUGGUGGGUAGUUUAACUGGGGCGGUUGCCUCCCAAAUGUAACGGAGGCGCCCAAAGGUUCCCUCAGCCGGUUGGCAAUCAGGUGUCGAGUGCAAGUGCACAAGGGAGCUGACUGUGAGACUGACAGGUCGAGCAGGGACGAAAGCGGGACUAGUGAUCCGGCACCGGCAAGUGGAAGCGGGUGUCGCUCAACGGAUAAAGGUACCCCGGGGAUAACAGGCUGAUCUUCCCCAAGAGUCCAUAUCGACGGGAUGGUUUGGCACCUCGAUGUCGGCUCGUCGCAUCCUGGGGCUGGAGUAGGUCCCAAGGGUUGGGCUGUUCGCCCAUUAAAGCGGCACGCGAGCUGGGUUUAGAACGUCGUGAGACAGUUCGGUCUCUAUCCGCCGCGCGCGUUAGAAACUUGAGGAAGGCUGUCCCUAGUACGAGAGGACCGGGACGGACGAACCUCUGGUGUGCCAGUUGUUCCGCCAGGAGCACUGCUGGUUAGCUACGUUCGGAAGGGAUAACCGCUGAAAGCAUCUAAGCGGGAAGCCUGUUCCAAGAUGAGGUUUCUCACCCCUCGAGGGGGUAAGGCCCCCGGCAGACCACCGGGUUGAUAGGCCAGAACUGGAAGCACAGUAAUGUGUGGAGGUGACUGGUACUAAUAGGCCGAGGACUUACCACAA